rnacentral:rRNA from 1 species
AUUCCGGUUGAUCCUGCCGGAGGCCAUUGCUAUCGGAGUCCGAUUUAGCCAUGCUAGUCGUGCGAGUUCAGACUCGCGGCACCGAGCUCAGUAACACGUGGCCAAACUACCCUACAGAGACGGAUACCCUCGGGAAACUGAGGUUAACCCGUCAUACCGAUCUCAGGCUUGAAUCGCAGAGAUCACAAAACGCCCCGGCGCUGUAGGAUGUGGCUGCGGUUGAUUAGGUAGACGGUGGGGUAACGGCCCACCGUGCCCAUAAUCAGUACAGGUUGUGAGAGCAAGAACCUGGAGACGGAAUCUGAGACAAGAUUCCGGGCCCUACGGGGCGCAGCAGGCGCGAAACCUUUACACUGCACGCACGUGCGAUAAGGGGACUCCGAGUGCGAGGGCAUAUCGUCCUCGCUUUCGUGUACCGUAGGGUGGUACACCAACAAGGGCUGGGCAAGACCGGUGCCAGCCGCCGCGGUAAUACCGGCAGCCCGAGUGAUGGCCG